rnacentral:tRNA from 1 species
GGCCGGUUAGCUCAGUGGUUUGAGUGCAGUGCUGACAACACCGAAGUCGCAGGUUUGAUUCCCGCUCGGUCC